rnacentral:rRNA from 1 species
GAUGAACGCUGGCGGCGUGCCUAAUACAUGCAAGUCGAGCGAACAGACGAGGAGCUUGCUCCUCUGACGUUAGCGGCGGACGGGUGAGUAACACGUGGAUAACCUACCUAUAAGACUGGGAUAACUUCGGGAAACCGGAGCUAAUACCGGAUAAUAUAUUGAACCGCAUGGUUCAAUAGUGAAAGACGGUUUUGCUGUCACUUAUAGAUGGAUCCGCGCCGCAUUAGCUAGUUGGUAAGGUAACGGCUUACCAAGGCAACGAUGCGUAGCCGACCUGAGAGGGUGAUCGGCCACACUGGAACUGAGACACGGUCCAGACUCCUACGGGAGGCAGCAGUAGGGAAUCUUCCGCAAUGGGCGAAAGCCUGACGGAGCAACGCCGCGUGAGUGAUGAAAGUCUUCGGAUCGUAAAACUCUGUUAUUAGGAAAGAACAAAUGUGUAAGUAACUAUGCACGUCUUGACGGUACCUAAUCAGAAAGCCACGGCUAACUACGCG